UGAGGAAUAUUGGGCAAUGCCCGCAAGGGUGACCCAGCAACGCCGCGUGGAGGAUGAAUGUCGUAAGAUUGUAAACUCCUGUUAGAGGGGAAGAAUAGUACCGGUUGGACCGGUAUAUGACUGUACCCUCAGAGAAAGCCCCGGCUAACUACGUGCCAGCAGCCGCGGUAAUACGUAGGGGGCAAGCGUUGUCCGGAUUUACUGGGUGUAAAGGGAGCGUAGGCGGUUUGGUAAGUUGAGUGUGAAAUCUACCGGCUUAACUGGUAGACUUCGCUGAAAACUACCAAACUUGAGUGCAGUAGAGGCAGUCGGAAUUCCCGGUGUAGCGGUGGAAUGCGUAGAUACCGGGAGGAACACCAGUGGCGAAGGCGGCCUGCUGGGCUUUUACUGACGCUGAUGCUCGAAAGCAUGGGGAG
rnacentral:rRNA from 1 species